UACGAAGGGGGCUAGCGUUGUUCGGAAUUACUGGGCGUAAAGCGCACGUAGGCGGCCAUUUAAGUCAGGGGUGAAAUCCCGGAGCUCAACUCCGGAACUGCCUUUGAUACUGGGUGUCUUGAGUGUGGAAGAGGUGAGUGGAAUUCCGAGUGUAGAGGUGAAAUUCGUAGAUAUUCGGAGGAACACCAGUGGCGAAGGCGGCUCACUGGCCCGGUACUGACGCUGAGGUGCGAAAGCGUGGGGAGCAAACAGG
rnacentral:rRNA from 1 species